rnacentral:rRNA from 1 species
UACGUAGGGACCAAGCGUUGUUCGGAUUUACUGGGCGUAAAGGGCGCGUAGGCGGUCAGCACAAGUCAGUUGUGAAAUCUCCGAGCUUAACUCGGAACGGUCAACUGAUACUGUGCGACUAGAGUGCGGAAGGGGCAACUGGAAUUCUCGGUGUAGCGGUGAAAUGCGUAGAUAUCGAGAGGAACACCUGCGGCGAAGGCGGGUUGCUGGGCUGACACUGACGCUGAGGCGCGAAAGCCAGGGGAGCGAAAGGG